GGAGUUUGUAGCUCAGUGGUAGCGUGCAUUGCUUUGAACGUAUGAUGUGCUGGAUUCAAUCCCCAGCGUCUCCC